CCUACGGGAGGCAGCAGUGGGGAAUUUUCCGCAAUGGGCGAAAGCCUGACGGAGCAACGCCGCGUGAGGGAUGAAGGCCUCUGGGCUGUAAACCUCUUUUCUCAAGGAAGAAGAUCUGACGGUACUUGAGGAAUAAGCCACGGCUAAUUCCGUGCCAGCAGCCGCGGUAAUACGGGAGUGGCAAGCGUUAUCCGGAAUUAUUGGGCGUAAAGCGUCCGCAGGCGGCCCUUCAAGUCUGCUGUUAAAACGUGGAGCUUAACUCCAUCAUGGCAGUGGAAACUGUUGGGCUCGAGUGUGGUAGGGGCAGAGGGAAUUCCCGGUGUAGCGGUGAAAUGCGUAGAUAUCGGGAAGAACACCAGUGGCGAAGGCGCUCUGCUGGGCCAUAACUGACGCUCAUGGACGAAAGCCAGGGGAGCGAAAGGGAUUAGAUACCCCUGUAGUCCUGGCCGUAAACGAUGAACACUAGGUGUCGGGGGAAUCGACCCCCUCGGUGUCGUAGCCAACGCGUUAAGUGUUCCGCCUGGGGAGUACGCACGCAAGUGUGAAACUCAAAGGAAUUGACGG
rnacentral:rRNA from 1 species